AACGCACGAGACCUGCGGACCUGCGGAAGGAUCAUUAUAGAGUGGUAAACCCCCCAUAAAAAGGGGGUGACCUCCCGUCCUUUGUAGGCUCUUUUUUUUUAAGGGGCUUUUUUUAACUUUCUGCUUCGGUAGGGUUAUCCUACCGGAACAACCUCAAAACUCUGAUCAAAAAAAUUGUUCUGUCCGAGGGCUCUUUUAUAAUAAAAAAAAACUUUUAGCAAUGGAUCUCUAGAUCGGAAG
rnacentral:misc_RNA from 1 species